GCUGACUCUGCUGCACGCAAUUUUGCAGCCUCCAUCUCUUGCCUCAGUGCAGCAUUCUCUACCUCAAGCCUCCGAACAGCAGAAUUAGCUCUCUCCACCUGCCCACUAGCCUUGCCCAAAGCAUUUUCCAUCUCCGUGAGCUUCUUCAUGGUGUUCUCUUCCAGAGUUUGUUUCUCUUUCUUGAGUCGUUCAACUUCUUCCCUCUCCAGCCUGAGUGACUUAAGUUCAGCCUUAUCCUUGCUCAAUCUUCGAGCAGCCUGCAUAACUUUCUGGUUUGCCCACUCUGUCCAUUCUUGGAGCUGAUUUUGCAAUUCUCGAACUGCAGGAACCAGCUUCAUAAUCAUCUCAUCCUUCUUGUCCCUUGGAACCCACUGUG
rnacentral:misc_RNA from 1 species